AACAAACGCUGGCGGCGUGCCUAAUACAUGCAAGUCGAACGAGGAAAGCCUUCGGGUGAGUACUAGUGGCGCACGGGUGAGUAACGCGUGGGUAAUCUGCCUCAAAGUGGGGGAUAACCAGUCGAAAGACUGGCUAAUACCGCAUAAGACCACGAGAUCUGAGCAUCUUGCGCUAAAAGGUUUUUCGCUUUGAGAUGAGCCCGCGUAGGAUUAGCUAGUUGGUAGGGUAACGGCAUACCAAGGCAACGAUCUUUAGCUGGUCUGAGAGGAUGAUCCACAACACUGGAACUGAGACACGGUCCAGACUCCUACGGGAGGCAGCAGUAGGGAAUAUUGCGCAAUGGAGGAAACUCUGACGCAGCGACGCCGCGUGAGUGAUGAAGGACUUCGGUUCGUAAAGCUCUGUCGUAUGGGAAUAACAAAAUGAAGGUACCAUGCAAGAAAGGGUCGGCUAACUUCGUGCCAGCCGCCGCAGUAA
rnacentral:rRNA from 1 species